rnacentral:rRNA from 1 species
UUAAGUGAAUAAGGGCGUACGGUGGAUGCCUAGGCACUUGGAACUGAAGAAGGACGCAACAAACGGCGAAACGCGACGGGGAGUGGUACGUACACAAAGAUCCGUCGAUAUCCGAAUGGGGAAACCCGGCAGCAGUAGUGAGCUGUCACCGAUGAGUGAAUACAUAGCUCAUGCGGGAGGUACCCGGAGAACUGAAACAUCUAAGUAUCCGGAGGAAAAGAAAAUAAGAAUGAUUCCGUAAGUAGCGGCGAGCGAACGCGGAGGAGCCCAAACCAGAUCUUGAUCUGGGGUUGUAGGACCACGAUAUGGCAAGAGCAUGGCUAAGAGAACGGCAUUGAAAGGCCGACCGGAGAGGGUGCAAGUCCCGUAUCUGAAAGUCUAGCGAAGCCUAGUGGUAUCCUGAGUACGGCGAGACACGAGAAAUCUUGUCGGAAGCAGGCGGGACCAUCCGUCAAGGCUAAAUAUACCCAAGUGACCGAUAGUGGACCAGUACCGUGAGGGAAAGGUGAAAAGAACCGCGGGAGCGGAGUGAAAUAGAACCUGAAACCGUAUGCUUACAAGAAGUCAGAGCCCGUUAAAGGGUGAUGGCGUGCCUUUUGUAGAAUGAACCGGCGAGUUACGUUAUCGUGCGAGGUUAAGUAGAAGAUACGGAGCCGAAGCGAAAGCGAGUCUUAAUAGGGCGGCAGUACGAUGAUGUAGACCCGAAACCGUGUGAUCUAGCCAUGACCAGGUUGAAGUUCAGGUGAAACUGAAUGGAGGACCGAACCGACCCCCGUUGAAAAGUUGGCGGAUGAGUUGUGGCUAGGGGAGAAAUUCCAAUCGAACACGGAUAUAGCUGGUUCUCCCCGAAAUAGCUUUAGGGCUAGCGUCGAGGAAGAGUCGUAUGGAGGUAGAGCACUGAAUGUACGAUGGCCCCAUCCCGGGGUACUGAGUAUAAUCAAACUCCGAAUGCCAUACAGAUAUACUCGGCAGUCAGACUGUGGGUGAUAAGGUCCAUGGUCAAAAGGGAAACAGCCCAGACCGCCAGUUAAGGUCCCAAAAUGUAUGCUAAGUGGAAAAGGAUGUGGGGAUGCACAGACAACUAGGAGGUUGGCUCAGAAGCAGCCAUCCUUGAAAGAGUGCGUAACAGCUCACUAGUCGAGUGACCCUGCGCCGAAAAUGUACCGGGGCUAAGCAUACUACCGAAGCUGCGGAUUCAACUUCAGAGUUGAGUGGUAGGGGAGCGUUGCAUGCACGUAGAAGCCAUACCGUAAGGAGUGGUGGAGAGCAUGGAAGAGAGAAUGCCGGUGUGAGUAGCGAGAUGUAGGUGAGAAUCCUACACACCGAUAGCCCAAGGAUUCCAGGGGAAGGUUCGUCCGCCCUGGGUAAGUCGGGACCUAACGCGAGGCCGAAAGGCGUAGUGGAUGGAAAACAGGCAGAUAUUCCUGUACCCGCGAUGGAAAUGAAGGAAUGACGGAGAAGGCUAGUGUGAGCCACUUAACGGAUUGUGGUCGAAGCAUAUAGCAGGCUGACAGUGAAAUGCGUCAGCGGGAUGUAAGAUGUGACAGGUAAGGGAACGCCUUCGGGCAAGUACUGAAGCACAUGAUGCCAGCUUCCAAGAAAAGUUUCUAGUGAUAAUUCCAUAGCGGCCCGUACCAAAACCGACACAGGUGGGCAAGGAGAGAAUCCUGAGGUGAGCGAGAGAACUGUUGCCAAGGAACUCGGCAAAAUGACUCCGUAAGUUAGCGAUAAGGAGUGCUCUUGUAAAAGAGAGCCGCAGUGAAGAGGCCCAAGCGACUGUUUAACUAAAACACAGCUCUCUGCAAAGUCGCAAGACGAAGUAUAGGGGGUGACGCCUGCCCGGUGCUGGAAGGUUAAGAGGAUUUGUCAUCCGAAAGGAGAAGCAAUGAAUUGAAGCCCCAGUGAACGGCGGCCGUAACUAUAACGGUCCUAAGGUAGCGAAAUUCCUUGUCAGGUAAG